CCUACGGGUGGCAGCAGUGGGGAAUAUUGGACAAUGGGGGCAACCCUGAUCCAGCCAUGCCGCGGGUGUGAAGAAGGCCCUCGGGUUGUAAAGCACUUUCAGUGAGGAAGAACGCCUGGUGGUUAAUACCCAUCAGGAAAGACAUCACUCACAGAAGAAGCACCGGCUAACUCCGUGCCAGCAGCCGCGGUAAUAUGGAGGGUGCGAGCGUUAAUCGGAAUUACUGGGCGUAAAGCGCGCGUAGGUGGCUUGAUAAGCCGGUUGUGAAAGCCCCGGGCUCAACCUGGGAACGGCAUCCGGAACUGUCAAGCUAGAGUGCAGGAGAGGAAGGUAGAAUUCCCGGUGUAGCGGUGAAAUGCGUAGAGAUCGGGAGGAAUACCAGUGGCGAAGGCGGCCUUGUGGACUGACACUGACACUGAGGUGCGAAAGCGUGGGUAGCAAACAGGAUUAGAUACCCCGGUAGUC
rnacentral:rRNA from 1 species